AUUGAACGCUGGCGGCAGGCCUAACACAUGCAAGUCGAACGAGUGGCGGACGGGUGAGUAAUGUCUGGGAACCUGCCUGAUGGAGGGGGAUAACUACUGGAAACGGUCGCUAAUACCGCAUAACAUAAGCUGUGCCAAGAGGGGAUUGGCUUGUUGGUGGGGUAACGGCUCACCAAGGGGACGAUCCCUAGCUAGUCUGAGAGGAUGACCAUCCACACUGGAACUGAGACACGGUCCAGACUCCUACGUGAGGCAGCAGUGGGGACUAUUGCACAAUGGGCGCAAGCCUGAUGCAGCCAUGCCGCGUGUAUGAAGAAGGCCUUCGGGUUGUAAAGUACUUUCAGCGGGGAGGCGUUACCCGCAGAAGAAGCACCGGCUAACUCCGUGCCAGCCGCCGCGGUAAUUC
rnacentral:rRNA from 1 species